rnacentral:lncRNA from 1 species
UAAUGGUGUUUAUUACUGUAUCAGGUGAAUAUGUAUGGUUUUAUGCUGCCUUGACCCAUCUUAUCAUGUGUGAAUAUGACUUCCCGUAGAAACCUGAGCUUGAAAACAAAAGCAUAAAUUCAUCACCCUUGGCCAAAGAGUUCAUAUUCAGAAAGGC